rnacentral:lncRNA from 1 species
AAAAAAGUCAACAGCAAAACAUAGAUAUCGACAAUAAUCUAGUCUGCUAUCAAGUUUUUUAGCGGUUAUAGAAGACAUCUGAGAUUGAGCCUCUCCUUCAUUGAGAUUUGAAGGGUUCAAGGUUUAGUGGAAGCUACCUCUACUAUAAAACAUGUUUAAACAAAGCAGAAAUCAUCUUUAGCCGAACUCAGAGGUUCAUCUCAAGAUAACUCCCUAAUUACACAUGCUUUCAACCUAUCAAUCAACAAUCUAAUUAUCUUCUCUAUAAGUAAGCAUGUCAGGAAAAAAAUUUAGCAAGAACAUGACAGUUGAUGAAUUGUUGAUGGAUUUCUUUCAAGCUUCAACCUAGAGUCCUUCCAUCACAAGUUCAAGAGCAACUCUAUUCCUUCUCAUUAGUACCAUAGAGGAAG